GCGGCAGGCCUAACACAUGCAAGUCGAGCGGCAGCGGGAAAGUAGCUUGCUACUUUUGCCGGCGAGCGGCGGACGGGUGAGUAAUGCCUGGGAAAUUGCCCAGUCGAGGGGGAUAACAGUUGGAAACGACUGCUAAUACCGCAUACGCCCUACGGGGGAAAGCAGGGGACCUUCGGGCCUUGCGCGAUUGGAUAUGCCCAGGUGGGAUUAGCUAGUUGGUGAGGUAAUGGCUCACCAAGGCGACGAUCCCUAGCUGGUCUGAGAGGAUGAUCAGCCACACUGGAACUGAGACACGGUCCAGACUCCUACGGGAGGCAGCAGUGGGGAAUAUUGCACAAUGGGGGAAACCCUGAUGCAGCCAUGCCGCGUGUGUGAAGAAGGCCUUCGGGUUGUAAAGCACUUUCAGCGAGGAGGAAAGGUCAGUAGCUAAUAUCUGCUGGCUGUGACGUUACUCGCAGAAGAAGCACCGGCUAACUCCGUGCCAGCAGCCGCGGUAAUAC
rnacentral:rRNA from 1 species